UGGUCUUCUUAGGAUAUUUGUUGGUGGUGUGGAUACCUCUGCAACUGAGACAAAAGGAACAAUUCUAAUUCAUAGUGCUAACCAGCUAGAAAAUUAUGCGAAAACUGAAGAAGCUAAAGUUGAGGAGCUUAUAAAGGCAGUUGCUGAUUCCGGCGCCAAAGUAAUUGUUAGUGGAGCAGCAGUUGGGGAGAUGGCACUUCAUUUCUUUAAAGCUUAGCAAGCCAAACCCAGAUGACCUGGGACAUGUUGAUUCAGUUUCAGUAGAAGAAAUUGGUGGUGCUAGGGUACAUAAAUAUUUUGUGGAUCAGGAAAUGAUAGCAAUUGCAAUAUAAGUAUCCGGGUGUGACUCAAACUUCAGACUUUGUGUGAGCAAACCAAAGGCUGAUUGUUUGAGCUACCACCCUUGGGUAUUUUGUUCUUGUUGUUUUUAUUAUUUAUUUUUCCUUUUAAUCUCAUUAACAUUUCCCAUAAUGUAAAUAUAGGUCACUGUUGUGAAGAAUGAAGAAGGUGGGAACUCUGUAACCACUGUUUUAUUGCGAGGAACCACAUAUAGCAUUUUAGAUGACAUUGAAAGAGCAGUUGAUGAUGGAGUAAAUACUUACAAGGCUAUGUGCAGGGAUAGCCGAAUGGUUCUUGGUGCAGCUGCUACUGAAAUUGAAUUAGCUAAGAGAGUGAAAGAGUAUUCAUUUAAAGAAACAGGGUCAGUACGUCAGAGCUGUCUUUCUACAUUUAUGCUUCGUACUUCCUAGAAAUUUCAUGAUCUUCCUAUGCAUGCAGGUAUAUUGAGAUGAUUUCUUUGGAGCAAUUCUUGACAACACUUGUAGUUGAGGCCUUUAGAAUGGAAGAAUGUAUUUCACUAAUUUUUGUAUACAUUUCUUGUGUUGUAUUUAGUGAUAAAGGAAUCUGAAUUGGGCAUAAAUUAUGUUGUAAUAUGAUUUCUUAAGCCUAGACUAGUAGACUAAAUAUUGUAAUUACAUUUUGAGUAAUUAA